rnacentral:hammerhead_ribozyme from 1 species
AUCCAGAUGAUGAGUCUCACAUAAGACGAAACGCAUGUCCUGGAU